rnacentral:rRNA from 1 species
UACGUAGGCAGCGAGCGUUGUUCGGAGUUACUGGGCGUAAAGAGUGCGUAGGCGGUUUUCUAAGUUUGGUGUGAAAUCUCCCGGCUUAACUGGGAGGGUGCGCCGAAGACUGGAAGGCUAGAGUAUGGGAGAGGUAAGCGGAAUUCCUGGUGUAGCGGUGAAAUGCGUAGAUAUCAGGAGGAACACCUGCGGUGUAGACGGCUUACUGGACCAUAACUGACGCUGAGGCACGAAAGCGUGGGUAGCAAACAG